GGCGAGAGGGAAGUUCAAGAACCAGGGAGAAGUAAACGGCGGUUGUUUUUGAGUGAAAAAGUAUUGUACACACUAAAACAAUGAUGUUAUUUAAUUCACAAGGAAGAAGAAACAGCAUGUAAUGUUCCCUAAAGACAUUGCUAAAAAAGUUCCAAAGACCCAUUUAAUGUCAGAGACAGAAUGGAGGAACCCAGGUGUUCAGCAGAAUCAAGUAUGGGUACAUUACAUGAUCCAUCAGCCUGAAUACCAUACUCUGCCUGAUCUCGGCCUGCAUCACCUUGGUCUAAUGAUGUACUACACUCUUAUAAUGGAAUACAAAGACUAUCAAUGAAUUGCCAACAAAACCCUUCAUCAAUCAACUAACAAAGGACAAUGCAUCUAUGUGAAUUUCUGCAGUUAAUCCAGGAUGAACUUCAAAGACAUUAGUCAUUAAUCUUACAGUUCAUACAAAAUCUUUUAAACAAUGGCCCUUAACACUUACUUAGUUUAAUAAUUUUAAACCAUGACUUGCACUAUACAUAAGUAAUAUUGGCAUUAUAUUCAUGCUGUUAGCCAGAGGGGAACUGGCCCCCACAGUGAGCCUGGUUUCUCUCCAUUAACCAACAUCUUAUGGAGUUUUGUGCUCCUUGACACAGUCGCCUUCAGCUUGCUCACAGGGUUUUUAAAUACAAUUAUUAUUUAAUUACUUAUUUUUCAACACAAUUCACAAUCGUAUUUGAUCAAACUACACAAUGUUGACUAAGACAUUAUAGAUGUUAGUUUCAUUUUCUGUUAAUGCAUGAUUUUCUGUAAAGCAGCUUUGAAACGAUGUGUGUUGUGAAAAGCGCUAUACAAAUAAAAAUGACUUGACUUGACUACAGUAUCUUGCUCUUCCGACAUCCUCUGCCUACAGCCCAAUCCCAGUGACUUCAGAGCAAACAUAAAUGGAACCAAGUUCGGAAGAAUGGACACAGUAAACAAAAGAUGUAAAAUUAUGUCUGAGAGAUGCUGGAUGUAUCUCAGCUCAGAUCAUGUCAAUAGCAUUUGUGCUUCCUUCCACUUCAGCGUUUGUUAUAGACUAUACUACGGGUGAGACUACCCCACCACACCCCACCCCACCCCACCCCACCCCACACUCUUGAUCUCUGCCUAAACUGAGAUGGAACUGCGCACAAUGUCUCACUGUUCCUGUAUUUAUUAUUCCUUAUCAAGCUUAUGUCAUCAAGAUUCUAUAUAUGGUCACUUGGUCAAUUUUGAUUGGUGGCCCUGUUAAGUCAAAGGUCUAGCAACAGUGGAACUUGUGUUACAAAGUGCAGUUGAAAUGUUUUAUUAUUAACAAAUAUAUUUUUUCCUUCUUGAAAUAACAAUGAUACUGUUUGUACCAACUUAUGUUUACUGGAGUCAGCUUUACUAAGCAACUUGAUGUAUUUUACAUUUACCAAUAAACUUUU